UUGAGGGAGAAUCGGCAGGAAAGAGAAGAGAGAAAGAAGAAGAAGAGAAAAGAGAGAAAUUAGAAGGAAAAUAGAAAGAAGUUGAAGGAAAUAAGUUUAAAGAUAAUCUUGAUAUUCUACCAGCGGGAUGUCAGUAGGAUUUUCUUCGGUGUCUGCUUUUGACUUUUGUUGGCUUCGAGUCAAGUUUAUAGCAUGAUAGCAAAUCACUUUUGUUGGACCUUCAGAACUUGCUCUUUUGUGGACAGGAAAAAGGGAUGCACAUGGAUGAACUUUGCCAACAGCUGAAACUUCCCAUGGAGAAGAUCAAGGAAUCUAUUAGAUCACUUGAAGAUGGAGGUUUAAUAUACUCUACAGUUGACGAGUUUCAACUACAGUGCAACCUGAUGAAGUUCACAGUAUUUUUGAAUGCUACCCAGCCUGCAAUGCUGUUGCGAGUUAUUUUGUUCCUUCUUUUGAAUAUUAACAGAACAGCCUGUAGAUAUUUAUUUGUUUCCAUGUUAACAUCUUAAGUGCAGGGAUCUGGACAUGUGUGUUAUCGCUAAAUCAUAUAUAGAAUUUCACAACAUUUUGAUGUUUUGUUUA